UGCGCUGUAAAGAGCUAAUAUGGUCUAUGCCUACAGUUUGUUACUGUUAGCCAUAUAAAUAAUAAUAAUUUACACACAACUCACACACUUUUUCGGUAUUUCUGCAAGCAAUCCAGAGGCGACAGGAACAAACUGAUGGAGACAGAAAUGGGAGAAUCCCACCCUGUCAGAAGAUGAAUGAGCUGAGCUUGCAUGAUGUGAACCAUGGCUGACAGAAGCGAGGGGGAAUCAAAGAGUGAGCAACUUUUGACAACACACGCUUCACAGCUCUGACCACUGAGGAUCUACAUGAUUAUCUCCAGACAAAACAACUGUGUCAUUUUUGAGAAGAAACCUGGGAAUGGACUGAGUGUGGUGCAGCCCUGAGACAAGUUCACUUCUUGCUUGCUCUGCUCCCUCCAUCCCUGGAGAUUCAGACACUACCGCCUUGAGAACUUCAGUCUGGCAUGAAGACAAGCUGUGCGCUACCCUACAAACCUUUGUACCCCACAAGAAGGUCCCCUGCCUGGCUUUUUGUUGUAGCCUCAGAGUAGAAACUGAAAGCAAAGAGAAGAGGCAAAGCAGUUUCCUGAUACUUGCUCCAAAAAUAAGCCAAUGAUCUCCCACGAUUGGAAACCAAAAAAGAGAAGAGGAAAUGAGAGAAAUGAAAAUUUACCAACAUCCUCAGAUCUUUGCUACUGCUUUGGUGGUAGCCAGUGGUGACAGGUGACACGACUUCCCCCCAAAAAAAGCAUCCUUACUUGUGUUCAUUUCAAUUGUUCUACUGAUUUAUGGCAGGGGUACCACCCCAAUCCCUUCUGUCCUAUAGACCUUUAAUCAGAAAUUAAAGUCUAGUUUGACACUGGGCUGCUUAAACAUCUCCAUACAGUCUGCAUAUAGGAAGGAAAUAAAGGAGAUAUAGACUUAAAAAUGUAUGCCAGAACUGUUUGGAACUACCUUGUCCCAACAGCUUUUUUGUUAAUGUACAUAACAGGUCUUCACUAUGGCAAUAGGCUUGUUUUUCCUUUAAAGUCUCUCAUUGAAAAUGUACACAUAUGAAAAAUAAAAUAUUUCCCCAAAGCCAGGCAGCACCAGCACCUGGGAAGUGAUGCUCUGGGCAGGCACCUGCCAUCCUGUGGUAUAUCUUCAGUCAUCUACACGCAGACAUAGGGGACAGACUCUCAGCUACCAUAAAUGAAAUAGUUCAACUGUUUUUAUACCAAUUCAAAGAGGAUCUGUUUUGUUUCAGGAAAACAGAAACUGAAUGCAAGAUUUUGGUUUUGCAAGGGAAAGCAAGAAGCGUUUCUUUAACUCUUUCUUUCUGUAUUGAGAGCACCUGCCACUACUGACAGGAACAGCUUCUCACUUUCCUUGCAUUAUAGAUAGCACUCAACCUUAUUCCACUUGCAGCAAGAUAUCAGGAAAGAAAGAAAAAGUACUGCCGAAGGUUCUUGUUUCUCCAGGACAGCUCUCAACAAUCCAAAGAGAAAGUGACACCAAAAAGAUUCUGAAUUGCUGCAGGUAUUACAGGAUCCUGUGAGAAAAAGUCUUCGUUUAAGUGUCCAGUCUCUGAGGUCUCCUGGUCAGCAACUUCUAUAUUCAGAGUCUGUUUCUGUUUUUAAGAAUGAUCUGCAGUCUUUUUAUAAGACCUUUUACAUCUAACUCUAUUGCAUUUUACUAGUUUUCAGGUAUUUGAUAUGUGUUCUUCUUAUUAAUAUAAAAUAUUUUAGGAUUUGUCUACAUUAAAGGUGGUAUAUAAAAUAAA